UCCUUGGUGGUCUAGUGGUUAGGAUUCGGCACUCUCACUGCUAUGUCCUGGGUUCGAUUCCUGGUCAGGGAA
rnacentral:tRNA from 1 species